UGCAAGUCGAGCGAGCGGAACCAACAGAUUUACUUCGGUAAUGACGUUGGGAAAGCGAGCGGCGGAUGGGUGAGUAACACGUGGGGAACCUGCCCCUAAGUCUGGGAUACCAUUUGGAAACAGGUGCUAAUACCGGAUAAUAAAGCAGAUCGCAUGAUCAGCUUUUGAAAGGCGGCGUAAGCUGUCGCUAAGGGAUGGCCCCGCGGUGCAUUAGCUAGUUGGUAAGGUAACGGCUUACCAAGGCGACGAUGCAUAGCCGAGUUGAGAGACUGAUCGGCCACAUUGGGACUGAGACACGGCCCAAACUCCUACGGGAGGCAGCAGUAGGGAAUCUUCCACAAUGGACGCAAGUCUGAUGGAGCAACGCCGCGUGAGUGAAGAAGGUUUUCGGAUCGUAAAGCUCUGUUGUUGGUGAAGAAGGAUAGAGGUAGUAACUGGCCUUUAUUUGACGGUAAUCAACCAGAAAGUCACGGCUAACUACGUGCCAGCAGCCGCGGUAAUACGUAGGUGGCAAGCGUUGUCCGGAUUUAUUGGGCGUAAAGCGAGCGCAGGCGGAAAAAUAAGUCUAAUGUGAAAGCCCUCGGCUUAACCGAGGAACUGCAUCGGAAACUGUUUUUCUUGAGUGCAGAAGAGGAGAGUGGAACUCCAUGUGUAGCGGUGGAAUGCGUAGAUAUAUGGAAGAACACCAGUGGCGAAGGCGGCUCUCUGGUCUGCAACUGACGCUGAGGCUCGAAAGCAUGGGUAGCGA
rnacentral:rRNA from 1 species